AGUGAACGCUGGCGGUAGGCCUAACACAUGCAAGUCGAGCGGCAGCACAGUAAGAGCUUGCUCUUACGGGUGGCGAGUGGCGGACGGGUGAGGAAUACAUCGGAAUCUACUUUUUCGUGGGGGAUAACGUAGGGAAACUUACGCUAAUACCGCAUACGACCUACGGGUGAAAGCAGGGGAUCUUUGGACCUUGCGCGAUUGAAUGAGCCGAUGUCGGAUUAGCUAGUUGGCGGGGUAAAGGCCCACCAAGGCGACGAUACGUAGCUGGUCUGAGAGGAUGAUCAGCCACACUGGAACUGAGACACGGUCCAGACUCCUACGGGAGGCAGCAGUGGGGAAUAUUGGACAAUGGGCGCAAGCCUGAUCCAGCCAUACCGCGUGGGUGAAGAAGGCCUUCGGGUUGUAAAGCCCUUUUGUUGGGAAAGAAAAGCAGCAGGUUAAUACCCCGCUGUUCUGACGGUACCCAAAGAAUAAGCACCGGCUAACUUCGUG
rnacentral:rRNA from 1 species